GGGGGCGAUCUGGAUUCGACGGGGACAGGAAAGCCCAGAUUGCAUGCCGAGGUACCUGGAGCCUCGUAAAUCACCUAGGAAAAUCCAAAUGCCAACGAACCUAUGGCACUCGCAGCCUAACUAAAACUUAGUCUGCGCGCCGGAGAAGCAGCGCCAACCUGACUUCCGAGGCGUCGACGAUGUUGGCUGGCCGUGAGGGUCCGUUCCCGCCCGAUCGGUGAGACCUUGGGAACUCGCGGGUCUGCCGGUGUGCCUUUUCCCCUGCAGCCUGCUAAAACUUAAAUAAAGGCUAAGCAUGUAGUAAUCUGGCGUGGACCGUUUCCGGACGCGGGUUCGAUUCCCGCCGCCUCCACCA
rnacentral:tmRNA from 1 species